AAGCGUUUGCGUCAAAUGGGAAAAAUCCAAAAACUUGGAAGGGUCAAACGGGAAAGGCAAGCGGAUAGUCACGAUGCGAGGAUCAAACAUCGCAAGGGUCAAUUGUCGGAACGGUCAAACAACAGAUGGAGGCAGGACAAUCUCAAAGGUCAAAUGACCACAAGCGGCAACCGAGGUGGCAGGAAGGACAAUCAUAAGGUUCCAACGUUCAUGAAGACCAGACGAAAAGAGCGGAAAGGAAAAUUGUCGAGGGUUUAACGGGAAUAAUUCACUUGGACACAGGAUCAAGAUUCAUGUAUUUAAUAUUUAAAUUACUUUUUCUCAUAUUUUUUUUUUAUGUUAACUUUGAUUAGACAAAAGAGACAAAUAACACACGACGAGUAAAAUUAGUUAUCUGAACACAAUUACACAUCCUGUAGAAUUCAUCAUGUUCAAUUUCAGUCUUUGCAUACUUUUUAUUUUGUUUUUAUUUUAUCGUGUUUUUCAAAAUUUUCACGCAGUAAAUUUCAUUUGUUUUCUCCCUUUUUCUAUUCUUCCGUGUGUAAUUGUGUUACCUAAUAACUCAAUUUAAAUAUGUAUACAAUCAAUAAACAUUUGACCAGGACAUUUUAAA